CACGUAGGGGGCGAGCGUUGUCCGGAUUUAUUGGGCGUAAAGAGCUCGUAGGCGGUUUGGCAAGUCGGGUGUGAAAUUUCGAGGCUCAACCUCGAAACGCCACUCGAUACUGCCAUGACUGGAGUCCGGUAGAGGAGUGCGGAAUUCCUGGUGUAGCGGUGAAAUGCGCAGAUAUCAGGAGGAACACCGGUGGCGAAGGCGGUUCUCUGGGCAUGAUCUGACGCUGAGGAGCGAAAGUGUGGGGAGCGAACAGG
rnacentral:rRNA from 1 species